UCAGUUUUUGUCAACUUUCCAUCAAUUGGCGUUCGUCUCUCUCUCUUUUUUUCUCUGUAUAUUCCAAGUUCCAACUGUCUGACCCUAUUUUGGUUUUUGGAAAAACAUUGCAAAGAAGUGGGUGAAGCGCGGCGACAAUGUGAGGAAAAGGCGAGAAGAGUAGGUAAUGAGGGCAAAGGGUGAAUUACGAGGUGAUUAGGAUAAGAUUAUGAGCUUUGUGCAUUGAUUUUAAUGUUAUUUUUGCUUGAAAUAGUUUUUUUUGAG
ensembl:ncRNA ZC513.16 ncRNA